UACGUAGGGCGCAAGCGUUAUCCGGAAUUAUUGGGCGUAAAGAGCUCGUAGGCGGUUUGUCGCGUCUGCCGUGAAAGUCCGGGGCUCAACUCCGGAUCUGCGGUGGGUACGGGCAGACUAGAGUGAUGUAGGGGAGACUGGAAUUCCUGGUGUAGCGGUGAAAUGCGCAGAUAUCAGGAGGAACACCGAUGGCGAAGGCAGGUCUCUGGGCAUUAACUGACGCUGACGAGCGAAAGCCAGGGGAGCAAACGGG
rnacentral:rRNA from 1 species